CAGUUGCAUAACUCUUUACCCUUGCAAUACUGAGACAAAAACCCUUUCCGGGUAUGAAAUGGAAAUUGAAUGAACACUUAUAUAACAGGGGUUGCCAUAUGUCAACGUUAGUUACAGGGCUUUUCCUAGUUCUGCUUGCAGACUAGCAGCUCUGUAUGGAAGCAUGGCAUCAGAGUCAGUUCUACAGAUAGCCUGGAUCAGGAUGGCUUGAGUUGUGUCCCACUGGCUGAAAAUGUUUCAAUGCUUACACUAUCUUCUCCUUCCCAGAGGCUAGUGAAGAUUAGAAGGUGAAAAAAACACACUCUCGAUGAAGUAUUCUCUGAGCUCAUGCAGUCUUCCCACACCGAAAGAGCCCAGCAGAAUGCAUGGAGGCAGACAAUGUUAGAGUCCAGGAAAGCACAAUAUGAAGGCGAGCACAGGUAGUCGGCUGAAGAUGAUAGGUGGUGUCAGCUUGCUCACAGAAGGCAGGAGUCAAUGCUGAGGCUACUGGAGGAUCAAACUGAUAGGCUCUGGAGUAUGGUUGAGGUGCAGGAAAGGCAGCAUGAGCACAAACCGUCGCUACAGCCCCUAUGUAACCAACUGCCCUCCUCCCCAAAUUCCAUAGCCUCCUCACCCAGAUGCCCAAGAAUGUGGUGGGGGGGCCUCUGGGCACCCAACCACUCCACCCCAGAGGAUUGCCCAAGCAACAGAAAGCAGGCAUUCAAUAAGUUUUAAAGUGCAGUUUGGCCUUGUCCUUCCCUCCUCCCCCACCCCUCCUGGACUACCUUGGCAGUUAUGUCCGUAUUU